GGACUGGCCUACACAUCCCUAAAGGCCUAUUAUCCCUUCUGAUCUUGGAAGCUAAGCAGGGUCACCCCUGGUUAGUAUUUGGAUGGGAGACCGAUAACAAAUAUCAAAUGCUGUGUUCU
rnacentral:rRNA from 11 species